rnacentral:rRNA from 1 species
UACGUAGGGGGCAAGCGUUGUCCGGAUUUAUUGGGCGUAAAGAGCGUGUAGGCGGUUUGGUAGGUCCGUUGUGAAAACUCGAGGCUCAACCUCGAGACGCCGGCGGAAACCAUCAGGCUAGAGUCCGGAAGAGGAGAGUGGAAUUCCUGGUGUAGCGGUGAAAUGCGCAGAUAUCAGGAGGAACACCAAUGGCGAAGGCAGCUCGCUGGGACGUGACUGACGCUGAGGAGCGAAAGCGUGGGGAGCGAACAGG